AACGAACGCUGGCGGCAGGCUUAACACAUGCAAGUCGAGCGCCCCGCAAGGGGAGCGGCAGACGGGUGAGUAACGCGUGGGAAUCUACCGUGCCCUACGGAAUAGCUCCGGGAAACUGGAAUUAAUACCGUUUACGCCCUACGGGGGAAAGAUUUAUCGGGGGAUGAUGAGCCCGCGUUGGAGUAGCUAGUUGGUGGGGUAAAGGCCUACCAAGUCGACGAUCCGUAGCUGGUCUGAGAGGAUGAUCAGCGACAUUGGGACUGAGACACGGCCCAAACUCCUACGGGAGGCAGCAGUGGGGAAUAUUGGACAAUGGGCGCGAGCGUGAUCCAGCCAUGCCGCGUGAGUGAUGAAGGUCUUAGGAUUGUAAAGCUCUUGCACCGGUGAAGAUAAUGACGGUAACCGGAGAAGAAGCCCCGGCUAACUUCGUGCCAGCCGCCGCGGUAAAAC
rnacentral:rRNA from 1 species